rnacentral:antisense_RNA from 1 species
CUUCAACGAGCCCAGCAGCAGCGGCUGGUCCUCCGGCCGGGACUGGCCGUAGGUCGCCAGCAGCGCCUGCGCCUC